rnacentral:rRNA from 1 species
GAUGAACGCUGGCGGCGUGCCUAAUACAUGCAAGUCGAGCGAACAGACGAGGAGCUUGCUCCUCUGACGUUAGCGGCGGACGGUGAGUAACACGUGGAUAACCUACCUAUAAGACUGGGAUAACUUCGGGAAACCGGAGCUAAUGCCGGAUAAUAUAUUGAACCGCAUGGUUCAAUAGUGAAAGACGGUUUUGCUGUCACUUAUAGAUGGAUCCGCGCCGCAUUAGCUAGUUGGUAAGGUAACGGCUUACCAAGGCAACGAUGCGUAGCCGACCUGAGAGGGUGAUCGGCCACACUGGAACUGAGACACGGUCCAGACUCCUACGGGAGGCAGCAGUAGGGAAUCUUCCGCAAUGGGCGAAAGCCUGACGGAGCAACGCCGCGUGAGUGAUGAAGGUCUUCGGAUCGUAAAACUCUGUUAUUAGGGAAGAACAAAUGUGUAAGUAACUAUGCACGUCUUGACGGUACCUAAUCAGAAAGCCACGGCUAACUACGUG